rnacentral:rRNA from 1 species
AAUACCAUUAAUUUUCAUGAACCCCUAAUUUAUAAUGAAUGACUCCAUAUUUAUAUGGAAGACACCAUGCUAGGAUUAGUAACAAGAAUUUAUAAUUCUCCAAAAUGCAAAUAUAAACCAACAUGGAUAGACCAUUGGUAGUUACCGAACCUAAAUUUACUGCAAUAACACCCACAAGAAAACUCUGCAGUACUUACUCGUUAACCUAACACCAGCGCAUUACAGGAAAGAUUAAAAAAAAGAGAAGGAAUUCGGCAAAUGACGGCCCCGCCUGUUUACCAAAAACAUCGCCUCUUGACUUAUAAUAAGAGGUCCAGCCUGCCCAGUGAAUUUUAAACGGCCGCGGUAUCCUAACCGCGCGAAGGUAGCAUAAUCACUUGUUCUUUAAAUGGGGACUCGUAUCAACGGCAUCACGAGGGUUUUACUGUCUCCUCUUUUUGAUCAGUGAAAUUGAUCUUCCCGUGAAGAAGCGGGGAUAUUUUUAUAAGACGAGAAGACCCCAUGGAGCUUUAAACCAAAUAACAACUUAACUACUUAUCCCACAAUAAAUUUAAGCCCUGUUAUAAGGUUUUUGGUUGGGGUGACCGCGGAGUAAAGCACAUCCUCCACGACGGAAAGAACAUAAUCUUUAUUUAAGAACCACACUUCUAGAAAUUAGUAUACUAACGUUUACUGACCCGACAAUCGAUCAACGGACCAAGUUACCCUGGGGAUAACAGCGCAAUCUACUUCAAGAGCUCAUAUCGACAAGUAGGCUUACGACCUCGAUGUUGGAUCAGGGUAUCCCGGUGGUGCAGCCGCUACCGAAGGUUCGUUGUC